UAAAUCUUAAAUAUUACUUCAACAGGGAUGAGUUCAAUCGAAGAACUGAUGGAAAACAUCAGCAAUUUCCUCUCUCAAUUGUUCAUAACCCAACCCAUCAUUCCUACAAAAGAAAAUCGUUCCUCUCUCCAAAACAGUUAAACCCAUCUCCCUAUUCUUCGAUUCUUCUUCUAAUUAGCCCAAAUCAAUGUACAAGUAGGGGAUCUCAAGCCCAUCGGCGACAAAGGCAUGUAUGAAUAUAAAUUUGCAUAAUUUUUUAUUUAGAAUUCACCAUCGGCAAUGACAAGCAGGCGAGUCGAUCUACGGCGACGACAUUUGUUGAAGUGGAAAUGCAGGAGAUUGAAGUGGAAGUCUUCUCUAUUUCACGCUCUAUCCAUCGAAAAUGGAGAUGCAUAAAGACACAUUUUCCCAGGUAAAUUUGAGUUUUCAGCCCUGAUUUCUAAAUUUUUUUAUUAUAAAUGUUAAUUUCUACGAUUUAAGAUGUGUGAAUCAAUUGUUGAAGAUUGUCCAGUAUUUUGUAUUUUUUUGGAAGCUUCAGUAUUUUGUAGUGUUUUUUUUAGGAACGGUAUUUUGUAGUUUUAAGUAUUCAUAUCCUCACACUUUUGAUGUCGUUGGCGUUACCGCUCCACCCAAUUUUGUCAAACACGUUACCGAGUCACAUUACCUAGCCUCCACCACUAUAACAGUCCAGUGCCUAAAAGAGCAGUUUAACCGUCACUAUCGGCCGGAACAACCACCCUUGCCUUUGUCUCACCAAACAACCCAUCACUUUUUCCUUCUUUUUUUCCCCCUUUAAUUUUUUAGUUAUGCUAAAUAUAGGGCUAUGCAUGUCUGUAUAUUGGUGAAUUUUAGAGAAGUGUAUAUUGGUGAAUUUUAGAGGAGUUUUUAGAUCAAUUCUUUAACAAAUGCUAGAUUAAAUUGUUUAGUGUACAUCACCAAUAACAUAUAACCACAUAUAUAUCUUUGUAGUUUCAUGUCACUAUGUUAAUCAAAUCAUUCAUUUAGACGUUUAUAGUGGUAUGAUUCUUUCUAGAUAAUCAAUCAUUAUGCCUUUGUAGUAUUAUUUAUUUCCAAGAUUCAAUUUCUAAAGUUCAAAACCUAUUCUUUUGAAGUUGAUGCUACUAUAUAUGUGAGAAAUUGAUUUGAAGGCGAAUGAGGAGAAGAAUAUGGGGCUACUCUCAAAUUUGGCUUAUGCUUUGACAAUGGACUAUAUUUUUGCAAAGGAGCUCUGAUGAAAAUAAAGGUUGAGCAACCAAGAAAGCCUAGAGCAGAUUUGUUAGUUUCUCAAUGAUAACUGUUUAGUGCUCAACGAUUUCAACUUUAGAGAUGAGUUGCUUCUCCUUUUAUGAAUUAUAUUUGUAGACCACAUAGAACCACUAUUAUACAGGGAGAAAUGUUGUUGUUUCGUAUUGAUUAUUGCUUAGUUGGUGCUUAAUUUAUAUAAAAGGCUAUGCAUUUGUUUUCCUCUUUAAAAUUUUGAAAUAAAACAAUCAAAGAUUUAUAUAUUAUAUAUUUCUCGUGUCUUCUCUCUUUCAACUUGCCUUCAUACCUUAGAUGGAGAUUGAAAUAAACUAUUUGAUUGCUCAUACUUUUCUAUGUCAUGUGUAGAACUUUUUGAGAUCAAAUCUUGAAAGGCGUUGUGCUCUUCUUUUGCUAUGAGAAUUUUUUUUUCUGCUAAAGCUACAGUAGAAAGCCUAGCUCGUACGGUUAAUCUCCAUCUUUUGCUUUCUUAUUUUGCUCCAUAUAUAAUUCUUUGAGAACACAUGUUUAAGUGUGUAUUUGUUUUCCUGCUGACAUAUCUAGAUAUAUAUGAAAUCACAGUUUCUAAUGGUUGUUUUUUGCGUCAAUUCAAUCAGGAUUAGAAAAACCAUCUUUUCGUAAUAUUCUCAGUGCAUCAGUUGCAGAAAAUUCAGUUUUCUGGAUUUGUUUCAGCAUCAUUUCUAGCGCGUCAAGGUUGAUUCAUCCAGCGCGUAUCACCAACAUUUGUUGGCCGCAGAUCUAGAGAAAUCAAAAGGGAUGUGUCCAUCAGCCACCAGAGAGGAUUGGGGAAGAAAGAUGUGGAGAAAUCGAUAGGAUGCGUAAAAGAGUAACAGGAUGGACUGUUUCUCUUGGAUGGAAAUAUCAUUGACGGCGAUGUUUCAAAAAUCUAAACAUUCAUAGGACACUUAUUGAAAAUUUAGAGAGUGCUAAUGCACCCAUAUAUCAUCGAAGCUCUCAAGUGAGAAAAAUGUUUAGUAUGAAAUUUUGAAUAAUUUGUUAUAAUCUUUUAAAAAGAUAUAUAAAUAAAUAAAAAAUUGCAGUAUAAAUUUUUUA